CGAAAGCCUGACGGAGCAACGCCGCGUGAGGGAUGAAGGCCUCUGGGCUGUAAACCUCUUUUCUCAAGGAAGAAGAUCUGACGGUACUUGAGGAAUAAGCCACGGCUAAUUCCGUGCCAGCAGCCGCGGUAAUACGGGAGUGGCAAGCGUUAUCCGGAAUUAUUGGGCGUAAAGCGUCCGCAGGCGGCCUGUUAAGUCUGUCGUUAAAGCGUGGAGCUUAACUCCAUUUAAGCGAUGGAAACUAACAGGCUUGAGUGUGGUAGGGGCAGAGGGAAUUCCCGGUGUAGCGGUGAAAUGCGUAGAUAUCGGGAAGAACACCAGCGGCGAAAGCGCGUGACUGGGCUGAGACUGACACUCAUGGACGAAAGCCAGGGGAGCG
rnacentral:rRNA from 1 species